AAGUGGCGAAGGGGUGAGUAAUUCAUCGGAACGUGCCCAGUCGUGGGGGAUAACGUAGCGAAAGCUACGCUAAUACCGAUACGACCUGAGGGUGAAUGCGGGGGAUCGCAAGACCACGCGCGAUUGGAGCGGCCGAUGGCAGAUGUAGGUAGUUGGUGGGGUAAGGCCUACCAAGCCUGCGAUCUGUAGCUGGUCUGAGAGGACGACCAGCCACACUGGGACUGAGACACGGCCCAGACUCCAACGGGAGGCAGGAGUGCGGAAUUUUGGACAAUGGGCGCAUGCCUGAUCCAGCCAUACCGCGUGCGGGAAGAAGGCCUUCUGGUUGUAAACCUCUUUCGUCAGGGAAGAAAUCUUCUGGGCUAAUACCUCGGGAGGAUGAGGGUACCUGAAGAAUAAGCACCGGCUAACUACGUGCCAGCAGCCGCGGUAAUACGUAGGGUGCAAGCGUUAAUCGGAAUUACUGGGCGUAAAGCGUGCGCAGGCGGUUCCAUAAGACAGAUGUGAAAUCCCCGGGCUCAACCUGGGAACUGCAUUUGUGACUGUGGGGCUAGAGUACGGUAGAGGGGGAUGGAAUUCCGCGUGUAGCAGUGAAAUGCGUAGAUAUGCGGAGGAACACCAAUGGCGAAGGCAAUCCCCUGGACCUGUACUGACGCUCAUGCACGAAAGCGUGGGGAGCAAACAGGAUUAGAUACCCUGG
rnacentral:rRNA from 1 species